rnacentral:misc_RNA from 1 species
GAAAUGCGAUAAGUAAUGUGAAUUGCAGAAUUCAGUGAAUCAUCGAAUCUUUCAACGCACAUUGCGCCCGCCAGUAUUCUGGCGGGCAUGCCUGUCCGAGCGUCAUUUCAACCAUCAAGCCCCCGGGCUUGUGUUGGGGACCUGCGGCUGCCCGCAGGCCCUGAAAACCAGUGGCGGGCUCGCUGUCACACCGAGCGUAGUAGCAAUCACCUCGCUCAGGGCGUGCUGCGGGUUCCGGCCGUUAAACAGCCUUACAAAACCCAAGGUUGACCUCGGAUCAGGUAGGAAGACCCGCUGAACUUAAGC